GGUUAAGUGACUAAGCGUACACGGUGGAUGCCUUGGCAGUUGGAGGCGAUGAAGGACGUACUAACUUGCGAUAAGCCUAGUCAAGCCAGUAAGAGGCGCUUGAGACUAGGAUUUCCGAAUGGGGAAACCCACCUGCUUGCAGGUAUCGUUAACUGAAUACAUAGGUUAACGAGGCGAACGCGGAGAACUGAAACAUCUAAGUACCCGUAGGAAAAGAAAUCAACCGAGAUUCCGAAAGUAGCGGCGAGCGAAAUCGGACCAGCCCUUAAGCUUUAGUGUAGUUAGUGGAACAUGUUGGAAAGCAUGACGAAACAGGGUGAUAGUCCCGUACACAAAAACUUAUCUAAAGUGAAAUCGAGUAGGUCGGAGCACGUGAAACUUUGACUGAAUAUGGGGGGACCAUCCUCCAAGGCUAAAUACUCCCAACUGACCGAUAGUGAACCAGUACCGUGAGGGAAAGGCGAAAAGAACCCCUGUGAGGGGAGUGAAAUAGAACCUGAAACCGUGUACGUACAAGCAGUAGGAGCCUACUUGUUGGGUGACUGCGUACCUUUUGUAUAAUGGGUCAGCGACUUAUAUUCUGUAGCGAGGUUAACCAUUUAGGGGAGCCGUAGCGAAAGCGAGUCUUAACUGGGCGCUUAAGUUGCAGGGUAUAGACCCGAAACCCGGUGAUCUAGCCAUGGGCAGGUUGAAGGUUGAGUAACAUCAACUGGAGGACCGAACCCACUAACGUUGAAAAGUUAGGGGAUGACCUGUGGCUAGGAGUGAAAGGCUAAUCAAACCGGGAGAUAGCUGGUUCUCCCCGAAAUCUAUUUAGGUAGAGCCUCGGACGAAUACUUACGGGGGUAGAGCACUGUUAAGGCUAGGGGGUCAUCCCGACUUACCAACCCUUUGCAAACUCCGAAUACCGUAAAGUAAUAUCCGGGAGACACACGGCGGGUGCUAACGUCCGUCGUGGAGAGGGAAACAACCCAGACCGUCAGCUAAGGUCCCAAAGUGUAUGUUAAGUGGGAAACGAUGUGGGAAGGCUAAAACAGCUAGGAGGUUGGCUUAGAAGCAGCCACCCUUUAAAGAAAGCGUAAUAGCUCACUAGUCGAGUCGGCCUGCGCGGAAGAUGUAACGGGGCUAAACAUACCACCGAAGCUACGGCUGCGUACGUAAGUAUGCGGGGUAGGGGAGCGUUCUGUAAGUGGCUGAAGGUGUGCCGGGAGGCAUGCUGGACAUAUCAGAAGUGCGAAUGCUGACAUGAGUAACGACAAGAGGAGUGAAAAACUCCUCCGCCGGAAGACCAAGGGUUCCUAUCCCAUGUUAAUCAGGGUAGGGUGAGUCGACCCCUAAGGCGAGGCUGAAGAGCGUAGUCGAUGGGAAACGGGUUAAUAUUCCCGUACUCGGUAUGAAUGCGAUGGGGGGACGGAGCAGGCUAGGCAAGCAUGGCGUUGGUUGUCCAUGUGAAAGGCUGUAGGCUGGUGACUUAGGAAAAUCCGGGUUGCCAAGGCUGAGAGUCGAGACGAGCCACUAAGGUGGUGAAGUUGUUGAUGCCCUACUUCCAGGAAAAGCCUCUAAGCUUCAGUUCAUACUGAAUCGUACCCUAAACCGACACAGGUGGUCAGGUAGAGAAUACUAAGGCGCUUGAGAGAACUCGGGUGAAGGAACUAGGCAAAAUUGUACCGUAACUUCGGGAGAAGGUACGCUCUUGUUUGUGAAAGACUUGCUCUGUAAGCAAACGAGAGCCGCAGUGACCAGGUGGCUGGGACUGUUUAUUAAAAACACAGCACUGUGCAAAAUCGUAAGAUGACGUAUACGGUGUGACACCUGCCCGGUGCCGGAAGGUUAAUUGAUGGGGUUAGCUUAGGCGAAGCUCUUGAUCGAAGCCCCGGUAAACGGCGGCCGUAACUAUAACGGUCCUAAGGUAGCGAAAUUCCUUGUCGGGUAAGUUCCGACCUGCACGAAUGGUGUAACCAUGGCCACGCUGUCUCCACCCGAGACUCAGUGAAAUUGAAAUCGCAGUGAAGAUGCUGUGUACCCGCGGCUAGACGGAAAGACCCCGUGAACCUUUACUACAGCUUGGCACUGAACAUUGACCCUACAUGUGUAGGAUAGGUGGGAGGCUUUGAAGCAGAGACGCUAGUUUCUGUGGAGCCGACCUUGAAAUACCACCCUUGUAGUGUUGAUGUUCUAACUUAGGCCCCUGAAUCGGGGUUGAGGACAGUGCCUGGUGGGUAGUUUGACUGGGGCGGUCUCCUCCCAAAGAGUAACGGAGGAGCACGAAGGUUUGCUAAGUACGGUCGGACAUCGUACGGUUAGUGUAAUGGUAGAAGCAAGCUUAACUGCGAGACAGACACGUCGAGCAGGUACGAAAGUAGGUCAUAGUGAUCCGGUGGUUCUGAAUGGAAGGGCCAUCGCUCAACGGAUAAAAGGUACUCCGGGGAUAACAGGCUGAUACCGCCCAAGAGUUCAUAUCGACGGCGGUGUUUGGCACCUCGAUGUCGGCUCAUCACAUCCUGGGGCUGAAGUCGGUCCCAAGGGUAUGGCUGUUCGCCAUUUAAAGUGGUACGCGAGCUGGGUUUAGAACGUCGUGAGACAGUUCGGUCCCUAUCUGCCGUGGGCGUUUGAGAAUUGAGAGGGGCUGCUCCUAGUACGAGAGGACCGGAGUGGACGAACCGCUGGUGUUCGGGUUGUGAUGCCAAUUGCAUUGCCCGGUAGCUACGUUCGGAACUGAUAACCGCUGAAAGCAUCUAAGCGGGAAGCAGGCCUCGAGAUGAGUUCUCACUUUGACUUAGAGUCAACUGAAGGGCCGUUGAAGACUACAACGUUGAUAGGCGAGAUGUGGAAGUGCUGUGAGGCAUUAAGCUAACUCGUACUAAUUACCCGUGAGGCUUAACCAU
rnacentral:rRNA from 1 species